AUUUCUACACACAUUCAUAUAAUACUUUAAAGAUGAUUACUAAUAUUUUUACAUGAUACAUUAGGCGCACAUUACAAAGAUUAAAACUGAGGUUUAUUGAUACCCAACAAACCUAAAUUUUAAAAUCUAUUUAACAAAUUUUUGAACAAAAUUAUUCAUAGAUAGUUUGCACAUAAUUAAUGGUUAAAUUUUAUCUGGCAAUGUGGAUAUUGCUAUUAUUUUACAAAAAUCUUGCAUAUGACUAUUGACUACACCCGUGACCCGUCUAUACAGUUAUAGUUUGAAAGAAGACUACCUACUAAGGAAUUUUAUCUUGUAGUGUGUUAACAAUGUUUAUUUAUCUCUAUAUUAAUGUAUAUUGCACUUCAAAGAUGAUUACCAAUGUUUCUAUGUAUAAUACAUAAGCUGCUCAAUGUAAGUCCAAAUGGCAUUCCUUAAGAACAGCUUACACAAGUUAUCUUCGAGAAGCAAAAAAUGCUCCUAGUAGGUCUGCUGCUAAGAAGAAAAAGUGGCACUUGGCUGAUGCAAUGUCGUUUUUAUCAAAUUACGCUGGGUCACAAAGAAAAAUUAUAAGUAACCUUUCUGGGCCUAAUACAGUGAAGGCUAGUGAAGAAGUAAGAGAUUUAGAGGUAGGGGUUAGUAAGGAUGGUAGCGAAUUUGUUCCUGAAAAAUCGAGUCUCAACUAGAAAUAGACAAUAUUGAGGGACAAUACUUCACUGUGAUAAAGGAACUCUCGUCAAAGGAAACAAAAUAAGAAUAAAACAAUUAAGUCAUCGGCUGCUAAAGUCAUUGCUGGUCCUACA